rnacentral:rRNA from 1 species
UACGUAGGGUGCAAGCGUUGUCCGGAAUCAUUGGGCGUAAAGCGCGUGUAGGCGGCUCGAUAAGUCUGCUGUGAAAGUCCAGGGCUCAACCCUGGGAUGCCGGUGGAUACUGUCGGGCUCGAGUCCGGAAGAGGCGACUGGAAUUCCUGGUGUAGCGGUGGAAUGCGCAGAUAUCAGGAGGAACACCGAUGGCGAAGGCAGGUCUCUGGGCCAUUACUGACACUGAGAAGCGAAAGCAUGGGGAGCGAACAGG